rnacentral:rRNA from 1 species
GGGAUGCUAAUACCGCAUACGUCCUACGGGAGAAAGCAGGGGAUCACUUGUGACCUUGCGCUAAUAGAUGAGCCUAAGUCGGAUUAGCUAGUUGGUGGGGUAAAGGCCUACCAAGGCGACGAUCUGUAGCGGGUCUGAGAGGAUGAUCCGCCACACUGGGACUGAGACACGGCCCAGACUCCUACGGGAGGCAGCAGUGGGGAAUAUUGGACAAUGGGGGGAACCCUGAUCCAGCCAUGCCGCGUGUGUGAAGAAGGCCUUAUGGUUGUAAAGCACUUUAAGCGAGGAGGAGGCUCUUUUGGUUAAUACCCAAGAUGAGUGGACGUUACUCGCAGAAUAAGCACCGGCUAACUCUGUGCCAGCAGCCGCGGUAAUACAGAGGGUGCAAGCGUUAAUCGGAUUUACUGGGCGUAAAGCGCGCGUAGGCGGCCAAUUAAGUCAAAUGUGAAAUCCCCGAGCUUAACUUGGGAAUUGCAUUCGAUACUGGUUGGCUAGAGUGUGGGAGAGGAUGGUAGAAUUCCAGGUGUAGCGGUGAAAUGCGUAGAGAUCUGGAGGAAUACCGAUGGCGAAGGCAGCCAUCUGGCCUAACACUGACGCUGAGGUGCGAAAGCAUGGGGAGCAAACAGGAUUAGAUACCCUGGUAGUCCAUGCCGUAAACGAUGUCUACUAGCCGUUGGGGCCUUUUGAGGCUUUAGUGGCGCAGCUAACGCGAUAAGUAGACCGCCUGGGGAGUACGGUCGCAAGACUAAAACUCAAAUGAAUUGACGGGGGCCCGCACAAGCGGUGGAGCAUGUGGUUUAAUUCGAUGCAACGCGAAGAACCUUACCUGGCCUUGACAUAGUAGAAAC